UUGACGUUUGCGGUCGCUGCUGAGAAAUGAAGAUGAAGAUCACUGGAUAAAACCACUGGAUUCACAAGAUCACUGGCUGGAUUUGGAUCUGUUUCUUGCAAACAAAUUGCUGUACUCACUCGGGAGGGCAAGGCUCGGUGUUACAGGGCCGCUGGUUCCCUGGCGGUUUGCUGUCCGAGUCACAGUAGCUGUUUUGGACCACGGAGUUGUCAUCCAGUCUUUUACACACCACCUCCUGCUUCUGCGAACCUGCAAAAAGACAAUAAAACAUCACUUCAUUCAUCUGCCUCGGCCAUUUUCGGCACUUCAGCAGCUCGUGCGCAAUAGCGCUGUGUGGUCGGCAUCGGUCCCUGAGGUUAAACUAGCUCUGUGUCUCUUCUCCAGGGGUCCGCUUGCUGACAGAGCACUCUGUGUGGAUAGAGGCACGGAGGUGAUAUCAAUUUUCCCUCCGUAUUAUAUCUAGGUGUGUAAAUGCCUCGGUUGAAGUGAGUGUCUUAGUGAAUGAUUUUUACAGAGAAGCCAAUCUUUUCUUUGGCUCUUGGUUGUGAAAAGUGAGCAUUACCACAGUAAUGGCAGAGUAGUGCGCUAUGCUUAGCGCUAGAGGCCAUUGGACUCUUUGGGGCCCAUAAGGAAAGACAUUAGCCUCCAGUUAAGCUGGUUUAUGCCAAGCUUGGCUAGCGCGCAAGGCCACCUUGUGAGGUGGAUCUAACAGCUGCCAGUACGGCAUUCUUGACUGGGUAACCGAAAUAACAACCUACUCCGGUGGGAGCUCGAUGAACCCUUUCAAGAUAAGAGAUUUCGUUAGUACCGAUUUGAUUCGCUGAAACCCAACCAGGGGGUAAAUGUAAAAUCUCAUGACAUCAGUUCAUGAUGUAAGACCGUUAUCAUUGCUGCACAUAAUGAUCAAAACAAUAAGACCGCAACAUUGAAAUUUAAUGGGAGUUUGUAAAAAAAAAGCAGGAAUCAAGUCCAAGUGUCUGAAUCACAAAUCAUUUCUAAAAGAAUAUUGCUGAAUUUUAUGGCAGUUCGCUUGGUGUUCAAAUGCUCCCUGUGUGGCUUGCCAGCAGAACAGCCGGGAGUUGUAUUAAUAACCCAAAAUUUCACAAAUGACAUAAGUGUUGCCCUGGGGUAUUUCCAUAUAAACUAAAAUGUGUUCAAAUGAAUUGAGCAACGAAUGAGGUUGAGUUUGCGGAGCUCUGUGAAAACCCUCAGUGGACUAGCCUGCGAUGUUUGCAUUUUUUGGUGAAAUAUAACAAGUGCUUUGAAUGUUUUCAAUGGCCAUAACUGAAAAAAGGAUAGAGGAAAACUAUUUAUUGUUGUAAGAAAGCCAUUUAUUUCGGAGGAGCCUGAACAGUCUGGUCAUAUUUGAGGUGAGGGCUCACAUUUACAUGUGGUUACGACAUUCAGAUGUUGAAAUAAGAGGCAGCCUUUCUGCUCCCUGCACAACUUGUAUGUUGGCGGCACAAAUUGGUGAAACAUAAUCAUAUGUAAGAUAAAAAUACAUUUAUCAUUCUGUA